CGGAGAGGGCGACAGAUAGCUGCGCUGUGAUCACCGGAGCUAGCAGCUUGUUUUUUUUUCACCCCCAAAUUAUUUAUUUAAAACACGCUGACUCGUUUCAUUUGGACUCAAACGUUUUGGGUUCGUAUAGCAUCGUUUUUGUACCGUAAGCGUUUUUUUUAAACGAGGUUUGGCUCAGCUGGAGUUCCGUCUCAACACGUGGUGGAUUUUUCCUGAAGAGUUGAUGUGAAGGAGAGGAAUCGGACCUGUGCAGACUUUAACUUCAGAUCCAAGUUCAAGAGAAGCACCGAAGACAUCAUGUUAAUAUUUUUUUUUUUACUCUAAUAAAAUAAAUAUUUGAUAUAAGUA